GAUGAACGCUGGCGGCGUGCCUAAUACAUGCAAGUAGAACGCUGAAGCUUGGUGCUUGCCCCGAGCGGAUGAGUUGCGAACGGGUGAGUAACGCGUAGGUAACCUGCCUCUUAGCGGGGGAUAACUAUUGGAAACGAUAGCUAAUACCGCAUAAAAGUCGACAUCGCAUGAUGUUGACUUGAAAGGUGCAAUUGCAUCACUAAGAGAUGGACCUGCGUUGUAUUAGCUAGUUGGUGAGGUAACGGCUCACCAAGGCGACGAUACAUAGCCGACCUGAGAGGGUGAUCGGCCACACUGGGACUGAGACACGGCCCAGACUCCUACGGGAGGCAGCAGUAGGGAAUCUUCGGCAAUGGGGGCAACCCUGACCGAGCAACGCCGCGUGAGUGAAGAAGGGUUUCGGAUCGUAAAGCUCUGUUGUAAGAGAAGAACGAGUGUGAGAGUGGAAAGUUCACACUGUGACGGUAACUUACCAGAAAGAGACGGCUAACUACGUG
rnacentral:rRNA from 1 species